GCGGAGGGAAGCCCAUCAGUGGGGCACAAGCUGAGUGCAUUUAGUCACUCCUUCCCAUGUCCCUUGGAAUGGUCUGAGACUAGGAGGAAAAAAAAACAAGUAUGAAAGAAUAGGUUUGAAAAAAUUAAGCUACCAACUGA
ensembl:ribozyme RNaseP_nuc Nuclear RNase P